UACGUAGGGGGCAAGCGUUGUCCGGAUUUAUUGGGCGUAAAGAGCGUGUAGGCGGCCAGGUAGGUCCGCUGUGAAAACUCGAGGCUCAACCUCGAGAUGUCGGCGGAAACCAUCUGGCUAGAGUCCGGAAGAGGAGAGUGGAAUUCCUGGUGUAGCGGUGAAAUGCGCAGAUAUCAGGAAGAACACCCGUGGCGAAGGCGGCUCUCUGGAACGGUACUGACGCUGAGACGCGAAAGCGUGGGGAGCGAACAGG
rnacentral:rRNA from 1 species